rnacentral:lncRNA from 1 species
GAGAAGGCAUCUACCCCAUCUCCUGUUUCACCUUCCACCAUUUUCCCUCCAGGUCAGAAAACCCAGCCAGGAAGCGCUACUGGCCCUUCUGGAGCAAGGUCUCAUUUCCCAGUGUGACAUUGAAGGCUAAGUAUGUCCUGCUCUGCUGGAGCGGUCUGCUCCCAGCCGUGAUGAUGAAUGCAGGAAGGAGGCCAUGAGCGUAAUCUGCAGAAUGGCGGCCAUGCUGACCAUGCACAGUUGAACGCCUGCUGCUGCCUUGAACUGUGUGGUGCCUGGAAACUCUUCCAAGUUUGGAAGAUACCAACAUUUUUUGAGCUCUGCUCAGAUAACAUGAAGAAAGCAUGUUCAGAGUGCUUCACAGCUGUGUCCCACACUUCCCCCUGUGGUCUGCAGAACCCAGCUCUCAACUGUGUUCAUCAAACUCCUCAGUGAUCCCCAUCGAUAGGUGAGUGCUCACACCCCUGGCAGCUGCACUGGCCUCUCAGGA